UACAGAGGGGGCAAGCGUUAUUCGGAAUUAUUGGGCGUAAAGGGCGCGUAGGCGGCCUGGCAAGUGGAAGGUGAAAUCCCUCGGCUUAACCGAGGAACUGCCCUCCAAACUGCUUGGCUUGAGUCCAGGAGAGGUGAGUGGAAUUCCCAGUGUAGCGGUGAAAUGCGUAGAUAUUGGGAGGAACACCAGUGGCGAAGGCGGCUCACUGGACCGGAACUGACGCUGAGGCGCGAAAGCGUGGGGAGCAAACGGG
rnacentral:rRNA from 1 species